rnacentral:rRNA from 1 species
CCUACGGGUGGCAGCAGUGAGGAAUAUUGGUCAAUGGGCGCGAGCCUGAACCAGCCAAGUAGCGUGAAGGAUGACUGCCCUACGGGUUGUAAACUUCUGUUAUAAAGGAAUAAAGUGAGGCACGUGUGCCUUUUUGUAUGUACGUUAUGAAUAAGGAUCGGCUAACUCCGUGCCAGCAGCCGCGGUAAUACGGAGGAUCCGAGCGUUAUCCGGAUUUAGUGGGUUUAAAGGGAGCGUAGAGGGGUUGUUAAGGCAGUUGUGACAGUUUGCGGCUCAACCGGAAAAUUGCAAUUGAUACUGGCAGCCUUGCGUACAGUUGCGGUCGGCGGACUUCGUGGUGUAGCGG